rnacentral:rRNA from 1 species
CCUACGGGAGGCUGCAGUAGGGAAUCUUCCACAAUGGGCGCAAGCCUGAUGGAGCAACGCCGCGUGGGUGAAGAAGGUCCUCGGAUCGUAAAACCCUGUUGUUAGAGAAGAAAGUGCGUGAGAGUAACUGUUCACGUUUCGACGGUAUCUAACCAGAAAGCCACGGCUAACUACGUGCCAGCAACCGCGGUAAUACGUAGGUGGCAAGCGUGAUCCGGAUUUAUUGGGCGUAAAGGGAACGCAGGCGGUCAUUUAAGUCUGAUGUGAAAGCUUUGGGCUUAACCGGAGUAGUGCAUUGGAAACUGGGAGACUUGAGUGCGGGAGAGGAGAGUGGAACUCCAUGUGUAGCGGUGAAAUGCGUAGAUAUAUCGAAGAACACCAGUGGCGAAAGCGGCUCUCUGGUCUGUAACUGACGCUGAGGUUCGAAAGCGUGGGUAGCGAACAGGAUUAGAUACCCCAGUAGUC